UACGAAGGACCCGAGCGUUAUCCGGAUUUAUUGGGUUUAAAGGGUGCGUAGGCGGAUUAUUAAGUCAGUGGUGAAAGCCCUCAGCUUAACUGAGGAACUGCCAUUGAUACUGAUGAUCUUGAGUAUGAUUGAGGUGGGCGGAGUGUGUCAUGUAGCGGUGAAAUGCUUAGAUAUGACACAGAACACCGAUUGCGAAGGCAGCUCACUAAGCCAUAACUGACGCUGAUGCACGAAAGCGUGGGGAGCAAACAGG
rnacentral:rRNA from 1 species